rnacentral:rRNA from 1 species
CUACGGGGUGCACCAGUAGGGAAUCUUAGACAACGGGGGAAACCCUGAUCUAGCCAUGCCGCGUGAGUGAUGAAGGCCUUAGGGUUGUAAAGCUCUUUCGCUGGGGAAGAUAAUGACGGUACCCAGUAAAGAAACCCCGGCUAACUCCGUGCCAGCAGCCGCGGUAAUACGGAGGGGGUUAGCGUUGUUCGGAAUUACUGGGCGUAAAGCGCGCGUAGGCGGGCUAUUAAGUCAGGGGUGAAAUCCCGGGGCUCAACCCCGGAACUGCCUUUGAUACUGGUAGUCUUGAGUUCGAGAGAGGUGAGUGGAAUUCCGAGUGUAGAGGUGAAAUUCGUAGAUAUUCGGAGGAACAUCAGUGGCGAAGGCGACUCACUGGCUCGAUACUGACGCUGAGGUGCGAAAGUGUGGGGAGCAAACAGGAUUAGAUACCCCGGUAGUC